rnacentral:rRNA from 1 species
GAUGAACGCUGGCGGCGUGCCUAAUACAUGCAAGUCGAGCGAAUGGAUUAAGAGCUUGCUCUUAUGAAGUUAGCGGCGGACGGGUGAGUAACACGUGGGUAACCUGCCCAUAAGACUGGGAUAACUCCGGGAAACCGGGGCUAAUACCGGAUAACAUUUUGAACCGCAUGGUUCGAAAUUGAAAGGCGGCUUCGGCUGUCACUUAUGGAUGGACCCGCGUCGCAUUAGCUAGUUGGUGAGGUAACGGCUCACCAAGGCAACGAUGCGUAGCCGACCUGGGAGGGUGAUCGGCCACACUGGGACUGAGACACGGCCCAGACUCCUACGGGAGGCAGCAGUAGGGAAUCUUCCGCAAUGGACGAAAGUCUAACGGAGCAACGCCGCGUGAGUGAUGAAGGCUUUCGGGUCGUAAAGCUCUGUUGUUAGGGAAGAACAAGUGCUAGUUGAAUAAGCUGGCACCUUGACGGUACCUAACCAGAAAGCCACGGCUAACUACGUGCCAGCCGCCGCAGUAA